UGGCAUAGGCGUCGUCGUUUUCAUGUGAUGGCCGAUUGUUGUGUUGAGUGGUUGUCAAAAGUUUUCCUAUUUUUCCAUGAAAAUUACCGAUGAAUUCAUAAGUAAAUUCAAGUUUGUUUCUGUGCAAUUUGUUUGUGAUGUGAUUUAUUCCGUUUGUUUUGCUGGAUCAAAUUCAAAAUUCCUCAAUCUAACCUGUAGGAAGGAACGGGAAAGGAAACAGUGCAUACAAGUAGCCUACCAUCACUAUACCACCAACUCUUUUAUUAAAAAUCGUCGUUCUGCUGAAUGCAUCAUGCAGUUAAUACAGUUUCUAUUGAUCUUUGUAGGUCACUAUCCCAGUGUGGACAUGUUUGUUUUUCUGAACAUGUUUUUCAACAAAUAAUUCAUUGACGUGCAAGGAAAGCUUAAAGCUUACCCAUGGGUAAUCUUCAGGUUAGCAGCAGCAGCUUAAGAGAAGAAUGUGAACAAAUGCAGGGCACAUACCAACAUGUGCUGUAUUAUUCUGAAUGUUAAGCACGAGCAGUAGAUUCAACAUGACUAACUGUUUGAUGCCAAAGUUAGUUUGGAACUCAACUCACUGUAUGUACUCUAACACAGAUAACUGGUGCUGUUGCCUUACAGCAGCCACAGGCAGGAAAAUCAUUCUUUUUUUUCAGAAAAUUGGAAAGCUGCUGGAGUAAUCUGGUGUUCAUGCUCAUUAAUUUCAUUUCGUGCCAGCUAGUGAAAGCCGAAAGGCAUGUCGAAUUCAAGUUGAGCUACUGCGUGCUGUCUCGAAGCAAGCAAUCCAGCCGUUACGUUCAGUCAUUUUGGAACAGGAAUCUAGUGGCUGUCAAUAGGUGGCUGUCAAAAGUUGGCUGGAAUGUCCACCAGGUAGCGCGAGUGUCUUCAGGGACGGAUUUCGGCCAUUUUGUUCCAAGACGCAGCAGAAAUGGUUGCUGGUCAUGACGUUUCUCACGAUUAAAAUUAAAAG
rnacentral:lncRNA from 1 species